UGGGGAAUAUUGGACAAUGGGCGAAAGCCUGAUCCAGCCAUGCCGCGUGUGUGAAGAAGGUCUUCGGAUUGUAAAGCACUUUAAGUUGGGAGGAAGGGCAGUAAGCGAAUACCUUGCUGUUUUGACGUUACCGACAGAAUAAGCACCGGCUAACUCUGUGCCAGCAGCCGCGGUAAUACAGAGGGUGCAAGCGUUAAUCGGAAUUACUGGGCGUAAAGCGCGCGUAGGUGGUUCGUUAAGUUGAAUGUGAAAGCCCCGGGCUCAACCUGGGAACUGCAUCCAAAACAGGCGAGGUAGAGUAGGGCAGAGGGUGGUGGAAUUUGCUGUGUAGCGGUGAAAUGCGUAGAUAUAGGAAGGAACACCAGUGGCGAAGGCGACCACCUGGGCUCAUACUGACACUGAGGUGCGAAAGCGUGGGGAGCAAACAGG
rnacentral:rRNA from 1 species